rnacentral:lncRNA from 1 species
AAAGCUCCCAGCAAGGGAUUAACCUUUCUUAUCUGCAAAACAGGUUGUCAGGGGAACUGCUUCUCUGCUGUCCUCACAUUUCCCUGCAGAGUCUUCCACUGGAAUAAUACUUCUGUUCUCUCCCACCUCCCCUACUCAUCUGCAUGUGGCAGGGAGUGUGGCUUAUCUGGCAGGGGAGAAAGGAGAACGGUUAGGGCCCAUGCAUGGCUCAAAGGACCUUCUCUUCAUUUUUUCUGGAGAGUUUUCCUGUCUGCAUAGCCUGUGUUUUCUACUUCCAUGGGGUAAGGACCCAGAACUUCUCUUCUGGAGGUUAAGAGUCCCACUCUGACCCCAAACAGGCAGCCAUGUGAUGUAUCUGCUCCACCUCUGCCUUCCCCGAUGAUUGUAAGUUUUCUGAGGCCUCCCCAGACACCAAGUAGAUGCCAGCAUCAUGCUUCCUGUGCAGCCUGCAGAGGAGAGGGGAAAAGAGUAACGUUGGAGUUGAAAAGCCUGGCAGACACCAUGUUCGACUGAGUGAUCAGAGUGAGCGCCGCCAGCCAUGAAACACACUGAAUCUGGAACAAUGGUGCAGCCCACUAUGGCUUCUCUGAUAGUCCUGCCAAAGGUGCAUCACCUGAACCUGACUAUGAGAAAGUGUCAGCCAAAGGAAAAUGGAGGGACAUUCUGUAAAACAACUGGCCUGUGCUCUUCAGAAGUGCCAAGGCCAAUAUAAAGAAAGGCUGAGGAACUGUUCUGGAAUCAAUAAGACUAAAAAGAGAUAUGACAAAAUAUGCAACAUGUGACUUUCAAUUGGAUCUUCAUUAUUAGGGCAACUGGAGAACCUUCUUGGGACCUGAUAAAUAAGUGGCAGUAAGGUCUCAGUGUUAAUGUCUUAAUGUUGAUGGUGGCAUGUGGCUGUGUAGAAAACGCAGGCAUGGCGGCUCACACCUGUAAUCCCAGCACUUUGGGAGGCCAAGGUGGGAGGAUCACUUGGGCCCAGGAAUUAAAGACCAGACUAGGGAGACCCUGUAUCUACAAAAAAUAUUUUAAAAAAUUAGCCAGGCAUGGUAGGUAGCAUGUGCCUGCAGUCCCAGCUACUCCGGAGGCUAAGGUGGGAGGAUUACUUGAGCGUGGGAGGUUGAGGCUACAGUGAGAUAUGAUCUUCAUGCCACUGCCCUCCAGCCUGGGCAAUGCAACAAGACUCUGUCUAAAAAAAAAGAAAAGAAAAAAGAAAAGGAGAAAAAGAAAAUGAUGCUUCUUUUUGGUACUAUUAGUCGAUUUAGACUGCUUUAACAGAAUGUCACAGACUGAGUGGCUUUUAAACAAUAGAAAUCUAUUUCUCACAGUUCUGGAGGCUGGGAAUUCCAAGAUCAAGGUGCUAGCAGGAACAGUGUCUGGUGAGGGCACACUUCCUGGUUCACAGACAGCCAUCUUCUCACUAUAACCUCACACAAGGGAGCUGUAUGGGGUCUCUUUGACAGGGACUCUAAUACCAUUCAUAAGGGCUCUGCCCUUAUUGACCUAAUCAAUCACCUGCCAAAGGCCCCACCUCCAAAUAUCACCACACUGAGGGUAAGGAUUUCAACAUACAAAUUUUGGAGGGAUACAAGUAUUCAUUCUAUAGCAGGUAGGUAACACACUAUGGUAUUUGGAAUGACAGAAUGUCAGGUUGGCAACUUAAUAGAUUCAGGACAUAAAGUUCUUUAUAUGGUACUUGUAACUUUUCUGUAAAUUUGAGAUUAUUUGAAAUAAUGAAAAGUUAGGAAGUUUCUAUGAAUGCCUUAGCCAAGAGGACUCCAGCGCUUGGAGGACAGCCAGUCAGUCCAAAACUUGAGGUGGAAGCAUUCCUUCCUGGUGUGGAUUUGAACUGGCAAGUAAUCCUCCAUUGUCUCUAGGUAAGACAUGGUGUUCAGACAUCCAUGAUCUCAAGUGAUGUCUUUUAAUUUGACUUUCAAUCUUGUUUUCAAAAUCAGAGGAAAAAUAUUUUAAAUAUCAAAUAUCUUCUCUGCAUGAGCAGACAGGGUAUUUUUAAGAGAAAAAUGUGUGUGCAAUGUGCACAUAUUCUGAAAUUAAAAGCAAGUUAAUAGGGGGAUUCUAAAAUGAAUUAAUUUAUAGGAAGCUGCUGAAACACUAUUUGAAUCAUUUAGAUUAAAUGUGCUUUACUAGACAGAUCCACUUCUACUGUGUUCUAUUAUCAGCAGUAGAUUGGCCCUGACAGCCCUAAUAAAUUAAACUGUCCAGCUGCUGCUCCUUCAUCUAUCUGAUGCAGCUGGUGAUGGCAACAAGAAUAAAAGAAGAGAAAAGGAAAACCUUAGAAAUGAAGGAUCUUCAACAUGAUGAAGAAUAAAGCAACGUAUCUGCAGAUUUCGUGAAUUAGUGAUGCCUCUUCACCAAGUUGUACUUAUUGUCGGGAACAUAUGAAUUCAACCCCCUGGUGGAAGGGCUCAGGAUGAGAGAACCGCUUCUCUUUGCAGUCAGACACCUGGGCUUUGUGUAACAAGGCAUUGGCAACCACAUGAUGCUGGGUGGGAAGGGGAAAGCACUUUACACAGCCUCUCUAGUAAUGAAGACAGACUUGCCUUUGCCUCCCCAGGCCCAGUUCAGUGGCUGUAAUUUGCAAGCUGAUGAGUUGGCUUUCAGGUAGAGUCACAGCCAAGAGAAUGAGUCAAAUGAAGACAUCACCUGCAGUUGCAACCCCGUUUGUCCUGCCCUAAGCAACUGAGCUAGUGCCACCACUUUCCAGAUUGAUGAAAAUCAAAGUAUCACAGUUUAACCUCGCAUAGGUGCCCACAUAUCCAGGUCGAGGGCAAAACAUAAGUGUGAAAACACUGACAAUUUCCAGGCAAAGACACUCAAGGGGACAGAGCAGGCCGAGAUGCAAACUCUUCCUUUCCUUCUGCAAGGCCUGCGUUUAUGGUGGGGGUCACAUGGAGCAAAUGAGUCCACCAAAGGCACAGUCCUGGAGUUCUGCUGCCAACCCUCAGCCACCAGUGGUCAAAGCCAUCAGAGGCAGGAACAUGAGGGUGUUUUUGCAUUUGGGCACUGGCCAUACUAUCCUGGAAGAUUUUACACCAGCAACACAAAACAUUAAAAAUGACUAUAAAUUUUGACAAAUUUUCAAUUUUAGGAAUUUGGAAACUUUGGCCUGUAUAUUAGUCGGUGGAACUUUAGCAUAGACAUUAUGUCUUCCUGUUUAAAAUUCAAAUGGAUCCUCAAAAAUGGUUCCAAAUGGAGUGGAAAGAAAUCCAGACAGGACAGAUGGAUAUGUAACACUCUAAAUCCAUUCUAUGGAAGGUCUGUAAUCAGCCUGUGACGGUAGAAGUAAGUGCCAAAUGGUACUUUUCCUUUGAGGUAACCAAGUGUAGUAGCUUUUGUUUUGUUUUGUUUUAAAUAAGACACAGCCUUUGUUUUCUAAGAACAACACACAAAGGAAUUAAAAACGACUCAAGCCUGCCCCCUGGUGUGAAGAUAGAUAAAAGCAACCGCAAGGUCUUAAAGUCAUCUUCCUGAAAGUAUCUUGGUGAGAGCUGAAAUCACACCGCCAUACGCAAAGCCGAAUGUAUAUAAUUGGCUAAUAAACUUCACAGUUAUUUUUAUAUUGAAUGUCUUCAGAAUUGGUAUAGCCACUAUGGAAGGCAUCAAAGAAAUGGAAGAAUUAGCUUGCAUCCUCCAGAUAAUCAUUACUAAACACUUCCCUUGCAUGCUGCCCCUAGGUAGAGCUUGAAUGUGGCCUUGCACAGUAAGCCUGUACUGGCAGCUAUCUCUGUUGUGUUUCUCUGGAAUUCUAAAACAAAACUGCUGGGCAUGGGGUUUUGAUGUGGUUCCAUCCCAUGACUGUAGACCGAUUCUGCAUGGUGCAGUGUGCUUGCAGCAUUAUUACUUAAGAUCAUAUAUAUUAAUAUAUUUAGCCAAAUAGCAAACAAGGGAUGUACCUGAUGCUUGAAUUAACAAAUAGGCAAAUAUAAGAUGUCGGCAUGUGCAAAAGAUCCUAAGGCAUUUCCUUUUUGGUCUUUGUAGCAGACUCUGUUGACAGGCUACAUAGAUGCGCUUGGAUUUCUUUAACUGUUCUGGCGUGUCCCUCCCUCGGCAUCUGUGUGCUUUGUUUCUAAUGGUCUGUGCCCGUAAUUUAUUGCUGUCAUUUGAAUGUAUGUGUCCCUCCACAUUUCACAGGUUGGGAGUGAAAUCCCAGUGUGAGGUGGGGCUGUCAGGAGGUGGCUAUGUCAUGAAUGAGAUUAGUGCCCUUAUAAAAGGUUAAGGGAGCUAGGUGGGCCCAUUUCCCCUCCAUCUCUUCUGCCACGAGAGGACAUGGCCUUUGCCCCUUUUGGCCUUUUUGUCCUUCAGUGCUCAUUCAAAUGGACAUCUCGGAAGCAGACUGUGCCCUCACCAGACGCAAAACCUGCUAGCACCUUGAUCCUAGACUUCCAGCCUCCAGAACUGCGAGAAAUAAAUUUUUAUUGUUGGUAAAUUUUCCAUUCCCUGUAUUUUGUUACAGCAGCAGGAAAGGACCAAGAUAUUCAUCUCCAAUGGACUGUUCUUGGCCUAUUGGAAUCCCUUUGCCUGCAUAGGCAGAGAAGUGGUAAUGCCGGGGAGUAAUAUGCCACUCUGGAAUAGGAAUUAUUUUAAGUGGAGGCAAUUGAGAAAAAGUGGAUUCAGAAUGAACUCUCUACUCUCCUCCUAUCUGCCCAAAAACAGAACAUAAAGUCCUGUUGUGAAGGUGUCCCUGCCCCCACCCAAACUGCCAUUCCAGGAAGGGGAUAACGGCCUUAUUAUCAGAGAAGAGAUGGUACUGAGAGAGUCUACACAAACACACCUUACUCACUAACCCUAUCUUUUAUAUGUUUCCCCAUGUGUUUACCUUCCCACAAUUUGCCACCCCAAUCAUCAAAAGCUCUUUUCUUGUCACUUCUCUACAAAAUUAUCCAUCUUUGUUAAGAUGCCAUAUAAGCCCCAAGGUCUAGUCACCCCUUUGAGUUACUCACCACGGAGUUCUCCCGUGUAUAUGCAAGCUGCACGUGCUAAUAAACUUCAGCCUGUCUGUUUGUUUUUAUUGUUGUUCUUCACCUAUCUUUCAUAACUCUAAUUUGCAGGGCCUCAGCUGAAGAACCCAGAAGACAGUGGAAAAAGUUUUUCCCUCCCUAUAUGGGAGUGUGAGAGCCCAACUCUGCCUCAAGAGAGAAGAAAGUCUAAGGAGUUACUUGUGCUCCAGAGCUCCCUGGGAAUCAGACAGAGAGCCUAAUGGACCUGGAGGAAAAUAAAAACCCAACUCCAUUUCCCCCUAGCCACCCUGUCCUAGCUCAGGGAAAAACUGAGAAGCUGAAUGAAGCUCACAGUCCAGGGCACAGGCUCAAGACAGACUGGGUCCUAAUCACAGGUCUACACACUGAGUCCUAAUCACAGGGCUAUGGAACCCUUCCCUUCCCCACACCUCACCAAAGGCCUAUUUGCCACCGUUUCUGACCCAGUGCAUCACAUCUGGCUAUCAACAAACAAUCACAAGGCAUAAAAAAAGGUAAAGACCACAGUCUGAAAAGACAGAGCAAAUGUCAGAACCAGACUCAGCUAUGGCACGGAUGUUGGAACUAUGAGACUGGGGAUUUAAAAUAACUAUGAUUCAUGUGCUAAGGGCUCUAAUGGAUAAAGUGGACAGUAAGCAAGAACAGAUGGGCAAUGUAAAUAGAGAGAUCAAAGUUCUAAGAAAGAAUAAAAGAGAAAUGCGAGAGAUCAAAAACACUAACAAAUGAAGGAUGCUUCUCACGGGCUCAUUAGUAGGCUGGGCACAGCUGAGAAAGACUCUCUGAGGCUGAGGAUAUCUCAAUAGAAACAUCCAGAACUGAAAAGCAAAGGGAAAAAAUGCUGAAUGAAAAAGGCAUAGAAUAUCCAAGGACUGUGGGAUAAUUAGAAAAGGUAUAUGUUUAAUAGGAAUACCAAAAGGAGAAGACAGAGAGAAAGGAACAGAUGGAAAGUUGGAAACAAUAAUGACUGAAAAUCAGACACCAAACCACAGAUCCAGGAAGCUCAGAGAACACCAACCACGAUGAAUGUCAAAAUUAAGCCUAGCCACAUUGUUUUCAAACUACAGAAAAAUCAGAUAAGGAAAAAAAUCCCAAAAGAUGCCAAAGGUGAAAAACACCUUACUUCCUUAGAGGAACAAAGGUAAGAAUUUCAUCUGACUUCAUGGAAACCAUGCAAGCAAGAAGACAGUGGAGUGAAAUAUUGAAUGUGUUGAGAAAAAAACUCCACCAGUCUAGCAUUCUAUACUCUGUGACAUUAUCCUCCAAAAGUAAAGGAGACUUAAAGGCUUUCUCAGACAAACAAAAAUUCAGGGAAUUUGAUGCUAGCAGAUCUGCCUUGUUAAAUGUUCAAAGAAGUUAUUCAAGGCAAUAAAAAUUGUUAUAGGUCAGAAGGUCAUAUCUACAUAACAAAAGAAAGAACAUCAGAGAAGAAAUAAGUGAAGGUAAAAUGAAAUUUUUAACUUGUUACUCUUAAUCUAACAGAUCAAUUUGUUCAAAAUUAUUGUAGCCACAAUGUAUUAACAUAUAUACAAAUGUGCUACCGAGCCAUGAAAAGAUAUGAAGGAAACAAAUGCAUAUUACUAAGUAAAAGAAGCCAAUCUGAGAAAAGCUAUGUAAUAUAUAAUUCCAACCACAGGACUCACUGGAACAGGUAAAACUAAGGUGGCAAUAAAAGGAUUAGUGGUUGUCCGGGGUUAGGGUGUGGGAGGGAUGAACAGGUAGAGCACAGAGGAUUUUUUAGGGCAGCGAUUCUUUAUGAUAUGACAAUGGUAGAUACAGCUCAGACACUUGUCAAAACCCAUAGAAUGUGCAAAUGAAAAGUGAACCCUGAUGUGAACUAUGGACUUUGAGUGAUAAUGACGUGUCCAUGGAGGUUCUUUGACUGCAACAAACAUGCCACUUUGGUAGAGAAUGUCGAUCAAGGGGGAGGCUGUGCAUGUGUAGGGGCAGGGGGCAUAUGGAAAUCUCUGUACUUUCCACUUAAUUUUGCAGUGAACCUAAAACUGCUCUAAAAAGCAAAGUCUAUUAAAGAAAAUUCACAAUAACCUAAAACAGAUGUAGGCUAGAUUUGGCCAGAGGGCUACAGUUUGUCGAAUCUUGACUUAGAAUAAGUCCUUCGUUGAAGAAGUAAAAACUAUAACAAAAACCACCAACCAAAGUGUGUUCCAGUUACUGCUGCUGCAUAAUAAAUCACCCCCAAACAACUCUUUGAUUUUGCAUAAUCGUGUGGGUCAGGAAUUUUGGAAGGGCAUCUGCUGGGCAGUUGUCGAUCACUGUAGUCAGAUAUUGGCUGGGGCUGCAGCCACCUGAGGGCACAAGGGCCAGACAUCCAUGAUGCUCACUCCCGUGGCCUGGCAGCGGAUGGUGACUCUUGUCUGGGGGCACAGCUAGGCAGUCUGCUGGAGCACCACAUGAGGCCUCUCCAGCAUGGAGUUUUCUCAAUGCUGCAUGCUGCCCCCACAGCAAGCAACCCAAGAAAACCGGUGAAAGCUACAUGGCCUUUCCUUUUCUAGUGCUGAGAAGCCUCAGAGUAACUUCUUCCCCAUUCUUCUGGUUACAAGAGAAUCAGGAGCCAGUCCCACGUCAAGGGGAGGGAAGGUAGACACCACCUCUGAUGGGAAGCAUGUCAAAGACACUGUGGCUAAUUUUUAAAAUAAAGCAAUGUUGAAACUACA